UACAGAGGUCUCAAGCGUUGUUCGGAUUCAUUGGGCGUAAAGGGCGCGUAGGCUGCGGGGCAAGUCGGGUGUGAAAUCUCGGAGCUCAACUCCGAAAUUGCACUGGAUACUGCUCUGCUAGAGGGCUGGAGAGGAGAUCGGAAUUCACGGUGUAGCAGUGAAAUGCGUAGAUAUCGUGAGGAAGACCAGUGGCGAAGGCGGAUCUCUGGACAGCUCCUGACGCUGAGGCGCGAAGGCUAGGGGAGCAAACGGG
rnacentral:rRNA from 1 species